ensembl:rRNA 5S_rRNA 5S ribosomal RNA
GUCUACAGCCAUACCACCCUGAACUCGCCCGAUCUCAUCUGAUCAUGGAAGCUAAGCAGCAUUGGGCCUGGUUGGUACUUGGAUGGGAGAAGUUAUGUUUAAAAGAGUCAAAUUUUCAACCAGGUUGUAAACU